rnacentral:rRNA from 1 species
UAACACGUGGAUAACCUACCCUUGGGACUGGAAUAACCCCGGGAAACUGGGGAUAAUACCGGAUAGAUCAGGGAUGCUGGAAUGCACCUUGAUCCAAAGCUCCGGCGCCCAAGGAUGGGUCUGCGGCCUAUCAGGUAGUAGUGGGUGUAACGUACCUACUAGCCAACGACGGGUACGGGUUGUGAGAGCAAGAGCCCGGAGAUGGAUUCUGAGACACGAAUCCAGGCCCUACGGGGUGCAGCAGGCGCGAAACCUUUACAAUGUGCGAAAGCAUGAUAAGGGAACUCCGAGUGCCAGUAUCUAAUACUGGCUGUCCUUGUGCCUAAAACGCACAAGAUAGCAAGGGCCGGGUAAGACCGGUGCCAGCCGCCGCGGUAACACCGGCGGCCCGAGUGGUAGCCGCUAUUAUUGGGUCUAAAGGGUCCGUAGCCGGUUCGAUAAGUCCUCUGGGAAAUCUGGUUGCUUAACAAUCAGACUGCCAAGGGAUACUGUCGAACUUGAGACCGGGAGAGGUAAGAGGUACUUCAGGGGUAGGAGCGAAAUCUUGUAAUCCCUGGGGGACCAUCUGUGGCGAAGGCGUCUUACCAGAACGGGUCUGACGGUGAGGGACGAAAGCUGGGGGCGCAAACCGGAUUAGAUACCCGGGUAGUCCCAGCCGUAAACGAUGCUCGCUAUGUGUCAGGUACGGUGUGACCGUAUCUGGUGCCGUAGGGAAGCCGUGAAGCGGGCCACCUGGGAAGUACGGCCGCAAGGCUGAAACUUAAAGGAAUUGGCGGGGGAGCACUGCAACGGGUGGAGCCUGCGGUUUAAUUGGAUUCAACGCCGGAAAUCUUACCGGGGGAGACAGCAGCAUGAAGGUCAGGCUGAAGACCUUACCAGAUCCGCUGAGAGGAAGUGCAUGGCCGUCGUCAGUUCGUACUGUGAAGCAUCCUGUUAAGUCAGGCAACGAGCGAGACCCGUGCCCACAGUUGCCAGCGUACCCUUCGGGGUGAUGGGUACUUUGUGGGGACCGCCGCUGCUAAAGCGGAGGAAGGAGCGGGUUACGGUAGGUCAGUAUGCUCCGAAACUCCCGGGCUACACGCGGGCUACAAUGGUUGGGACAAUG